AGCCUUAAAAGCUAAACCCAGCAGUUAA
rnacentral:tRNA from 2 species